CCCGGCAAUGAAUUGCCGGGCUAUUUUCAGAAGUCCCUCCGGGACA
rfam:Desulfobacteraceae bacterium IS3 Ga0073107_10878, whole genome shotgun sequence.